AUUGAACGCUGGCGGCAGGCCUAACACAUGCAAGUCGAGCGUGCGGCGGAAGGGUGAGCAAUGUAUGGGGACUGCCCGAUAGAGGGGGAUAACUACUGGAAACAGUGGCUAAUACCGCAUCUUGUCGGAUAACCCAUAUGGGAUUAGCUAGUAGGUAAGGUAAUGGCUCACCUCGUCGACGAUCCCUAGCUGGUCCGAGAGGAUGAUCAGCCAAACUGGGACGGAGACCCGGCCCAGACUCCUACGGAGGAAGCAGUGGGGAAUAUUGCACAAUGGGCGCAAUCCUGAUGCAGCCAUGCCCCGUGUAUGAAGCAGGCCCUAGGUUGGUAAAUUACUUUCAGUCGGGAGGCGUUACCGACAGAAGUAGCAACGGCUAACUCCGUGCCAGCAGCCGCGGUAAUAC
rnacentral:rRNA from 1 species